rnacentral:rRNA from 1 species
UACGAAGGGGGCUAGCGUUGCUCGGAAUCACUGGGCGUAAAGCGCACGUAGGCGGCUUUCUAAGUCAGGGGUGAAAUCCUGGAGCUCAACUCCAGAACUGCCUUUGAUACUGGAGAGCUUGAGUCCGGGAGAGGUGAGUGGAACUCCGAGUGUAGAGGUGAAAUUCGUAGAUAUCGGGAGGAACACCAGUGGCGAAGGCGACUACCUGGCCCAUUCUUGACGCUGAGGCGCGAAAGCUAGGGGAGCGAACGGG